rnacentral:rRNA from 1 species
AACAAACGCUGGCGGCGUGCCUAAUACAUGCAAGUCGAACGGGGAAAGCUUUCGGGUGAGUACUAGUGGCGCACGGGUGAGUAACGCGUGGAUAAUCUGCCUUAGAGUGGGGGAUAACUAGUCGAAAGAUUAGCUAAUACCGCAUAAGACCACAAGAACUGCGGUUCAAGGGGUCAAAGGUUUUUCGCUCUAAGAUGAGUCCGCGUAAGAUUAGCUAGUUGGUAGGGUAACGGCCUACCAAGGCGACGAUCUUUAACUGGUCUGAGAGGAUGAUCAGUCACACUGGAACUGAGACACGGUCCAGACUCCGACGGGGGGCAGCAGUAGGGAAUAUUGCACAAUGGAGGAAACUCUGAUGCAGCGACGCCGCGGGAGGGAUGAAGGCCUUCGGGUCGUAAAGCUCUGUCGCAGGGGAAUAACACAAUGAAGGUACCCUGUAAGAAAGGAUCGGCUAACUUCGUGCCAGCAGCCGCCGUAAUAC